rnacentral:ncRNA from 1 species
AUGUUGACGUAGAAAAGGAGUAGUAGUCAUAGUUGGGAUUGUAGAGAGUUGACGGAUGGUGCAAGUCAGCCGAACAAGUAUGAUGAACUCGCCUUCGAGUUUUGAAAGUGAAUGAAAGUAACUUUCGACGGGUCACGACCGUUACUUGUGAAGAGCGAAUGAAGGAUUAGAUAUUCAUUAAUGUGGGUGGUACCGCGGGAAGUAUAAACAACUCUCGUCCCUAAC